rnacentral:rRNA from 1 species
UACGGAGGGUGCGAGCGUUGUCCGGAAUCACUGGGCGUAAAGGGUGCGUAGGCGGUUCGUUAAGUCUGUCGUGAAAUCCCCGGGCUCAACCUGGGAAUGGCGAUGGAUACUGGCGAGCUAGAGUGUGUCAGAGGAUGGUGGAAUUCCCGGUGUAGCGGUGAAAUGCGUAGAGAUCGGGAGGAACAUCAGUGGCGAAGGCGGCCAUCUGGGACAACACUGACGCUGAAGCACGAAAGCGUGGGGAGCAAACAGG